rnacentral:rRNA from 1 species
AUUGAACGCUGGCGGCAGGCCUAACACAUGCAAGUCGAGCGGAUGAGAGGAGCUUGCUCCUUGAUUCAGCGGCGGACGGGUGAGUAAUGCCUAGGAAUCUGCCUGGUAGUGGGGGAUAACGUUCCGAAAGGAACGCAAAUACCGCAUACGUCCUACGGGAGAAAGCAGGGGACCUUCGGGCCUUGCGCUAUCAGAUGAGCCUAGGUCGGAUUAGCUAGUUGGUGAGGUAAUGGCUCACCAAGGCGACGAUCCGUAAAUGGUCUGAGAGGAUGAUCAGUCACACUGGAACUGAGACAUGGUCCAGACUCCUACGGGAGGCAGCAGUGGGGAAUAUUGGACAAUGGGCGAAAGCCUGAUCCAGCCAUGCCGCGUGUGUGAAGAAGGUCUUCGGAUUGUAAAGCACUUUAAGUUGGGAGGAAGGGCAGUAAGUUAAUACCUUGCUGUUUUGACGUUACCAACAGAAUAAGCACCGGCUAACUUCGUGCCAGCAGCCGCCGUAA